rnacentral:rRNA from 3 species
AGCCCGAUGAACCUGAAUAUCCAUUAUGAAAAAUUCAUCAUUAUACCGGAUAAUAUUAUAUAUUUAUUAUUAAUAUUAUUUGUGAUAGUGUGCAUUUUUUUCAUAUAAGGACAUUGUGAUCUAUUAACAUAAUAAAUAAUAUUUAUCAAAAGAUCAUUAGCUUAAGUUUAUUUGAAUUAAUUUGCUUUAAAAACAUAUUAACAUAAAAUAAAUGCAAAUGAUUUGAUAAAGUGUUGAUAGAUUUAUUAUAUAUAAUGCUUAAAUUGAUUGAAAUUUUACAAUAAUAUUGAAAUCAAUGAUUUUAUAUAUUCAUUGUAUGCAUUUAUAUGAUUAACAAUGCGAAAGAUUCAGGAUACCUUCGGGACCCGUCUUGAA